rnacentral:rRNA from 1 species
GAUGUACGCUGGCGGCGUGCCUAAUACAUGCAAGUCGAGCGAACGGACGAGAAGCUUGCUUUUCUGAUGUUAGCGGCGGACGGGUGAGUAACACGUGGAUAACCUACCUAUAAGACUGGGAUAACUUCGGGAAACCGGAGCUAAUACCGGAUAAUAUUUUGAACCGCAUGGUUCAAAAGUGAAAGACGGUCUUGCUGUCACUUAUAGAUGGAUCCGCGCUGCAUUAGCUAGUUGGUAAGGUAACGGCUUACCAAGGCAACGAUGCAUAGCCGACCUGAGAGGGUGAUCGGCCACACUGGAACUGAGACACGGUCCAGACUCCUACGGGAGGCAGCAGUAGGGAAUCUUCCGCAAUGGGCGAAAGCCUGACGGAGCAACGCCGCGUGAGUGAUGAAGGUCUUCGGAUCGUAAAACUCUGUUAUUAGGGAAGAACAUAUGUGUAAGUAACUGUGCACAUCUUGACGGUACCUAAUCAGAAAGCCACGGCUAACUACGUG